AUUGAACGCUGGCGGCAUGCCUUACACAUGCAAGUCGAACGGCAGCAGGAGCUAGCUUGCGAGAUUGAUGGCGUGUGGCGAACGGGUGAGUAAUACAUCGGGACGUGCCCUGUAGUGGGGGAUAACUAGUCGAAAGAUUAUCUAGUACCGCAGACGACCUGAGGGUGAGAGUGGGGGACCGCAAGGCCACAUGCUAUAGGAGCUGCCGGUGUCUGAUGAGAUGGUUGGGUAGGUAAAGGCUCACCAUGGCGACGAUCAGUAGCUUGUCAGAGCGGACGAUAAGCGCCGGUGGGAGUGAGAGACGGCCCAGACUCGUACGGGAGGCCGGCGUGGGGACUUUUGGACGACGGGCGAAAGCAUGAUCCAGCAAUGCCGGAUGUGUUGAGAAGGCAUUCGGGUUGUAAAGCACAUUUGUCAGGAAAGAAGUGGCUCUGGUUAAUACCUAGGGUCGAUGACGGUAUCGGAAGAAUAAGGACCGGCUAACUCCGUG
rnacentral:rRNA from 1 species